AAACAUUAGAGAGAAGAAAAGACAGCCAAAAAAGAAACAGCCCGAAUUUAUAGGAGAUGCAGAUGAAAUCCGUUCCAGACCUCCAAGGAAAAUUAGCCUUUCUCUGACACACUCCUCAAAAUCCUUCCAGACUUGACCCACUAUUCACCACGGCAGCACAUCACCUCCAGAGUGAAGAAAAGUUUCAAACAUCAGGAAAAAAAAACAGCGCAUUGCAAAACAUAUUAGACUGAACCUAUCGAUGACAAAAUGCAACUGUGAAAUGUUGAGACUGUUCAUCAAAGCUGGACAUAAGCAGGAUCCAUUCCAUUUUCAAAGAGGUAGAGUGACUGUCUGAAAAAACAAAAGUAACUAGAAAAUUGAUAAAACUGACCGAGUCAUCUAUGCAGAAAGUUGCUUAUAUAGACCCAUAAUAUAAUACAUUUGUGAUCAUAAAGCACAAUUUUGAUUUUGGAAUUGCAAUCAUAGUUCAAGGCGAGUAACAAUUUUAACCUCUGUAAUUAUUUUAAAAGCUAAUGCACAUCCUUUAACAAUUCAGUUUGCUGAAAUGGUCACUUAUGCUUUUGUAUUUAUACACCUAAACAUCAUCUAAGUGCAAUAGAUUUUACAAUCCCAGGUGAUUUACCUAGACUGCAACAUUGUUAUCAAAUGAUAACCUUCUAAGUUUCUUGAAUUCAUGGGUCAUAUUCCUUUGUUUGAGCUGCAUAAAACCUAUAUCACUGAGCAGUCACUUAAUAUCUCUGAUGAUAAGGAUGUUAAUGAGUUUUGUAAUACUUUUCUGAGUUAUUUCUCUGUUACAAUAUUGCUUCUUGAAUGCUAUACAUUGUUUAUUCUUGUUUUAUGUGGUACACAUGUAUUAUUUACUUACCAGAUAAUCGCAGUUUUCCCGUCAUAAAAAUCAAAAGGUCGAAAAAAAUUUGAGAAAUUUGAGAAAAAUAUUUGAGAAAUUUAGUUCAUUUUCCCAUUGUUUUUUAUUUCAUAUAAAACUGGGAAUAAAAUAUGGCAAAGCUGUUUAUUUGCCCUAUUUUUAUUUUUUGGCCCUAUUUUUCAUAUUUAAGGAUUUCAAUUGCACAGU
rnacentral:lncRNA from 1 species